rnacentral:lncRNA from 1 species
UUUUUCUUCUUCCAAUUAGAAAAUUAAAAAAAAAAAAGAAAUAGAGGGUGAGCAGUAACAGUUUCGGAUUUUGGAGAGUUCAAUUGGUUAGAUAUAAUUCAAUGAAAUUAUAAAAAAAGCUCAAAAAUCGGUUUCGAACCGAACCGAACCGAACCAGUUCGGUUCGGUUCGAUUCGGUUUUCUGUCUUAUUUGGUUCGGUUCGGUUUACAUUUUGAAACAAUUCGGUUAAAUCGGUUUUGGCCGGUUCGAUUCGGUACCGAACCGAACCGACCGAUGCACACCCCUA